rnacentral:rRNA from 1 species
UACGUAGGGUGCGAGCGUUAAUCGGAAUUACUGGGCGUAAAGCGUGCGCAGGCGGUUUUGUAAGCCAGAUGUGAAAUCCCCGGGCUUAACCUGGGAAUGGCAUUUGGGACUGCAAGGCUUGAGUGCGGCAGAGGAGACUGGAAUUCCUGGUGUAGCAGUGAAAUGCGUAGAUAUCAGGAGGAACACCGAUGGCGAAGGCAGGUCUCUGGCUGGACACUGACGCUCAUGCACGAAAGCCGUGGGGAGCGAAACAA